rnacentral:rRNA from 1 species
GACGUAGGGGGCCAGCGUUGUUCGGAAUUACUGGGUGUAAAGGGUUCGUAGGCGGUGUGGCAAGUCGGGAGUGAAAUCUCUGGGCUCAACUCAGAGACUGCUUCCGAAACUGCUGUGCUGGAGUGUGGGAGAGGCGCGUGGAAUUGCAGAUGUAGCGGUGAAAUGCGUAGAUAUCUGCAGGAACACCCGUGGCGAAAGCGGCGCGCUGGACCACUACUGACGCUGAGGAACGAAAGCUAGGGGAGCAAACAGG